rnacentral:lncRNA from 1 species
AUCAACUUAUCACCAUGUAUUACUUUGUUAUGUUCUCUCCAUACUGCAUACAAGACUGUCUGAAAUGCAUAUCUAAUACAAAACAGACUCAUCUUCUCCCUUGUUUCAUCCGAAAUGAUUAGAAAAAUCUCAGACUCACUUUUUUUCUUAUGUGGACUCCAAAUACAAAUCUGAUUCUGUUUGUAAUCAUUUUCUUUCAAAAAUAACUCUGUUUUAGUUUCUUAUGAAUAUUGCGCCUACCCACCUUAUAGAGUUUUAAGGGAAUGUUCAAGGUUUGCACAACAUAACAUACUCUAUAUGCUUAAGCAGUUACUAAACCAUCUUUGGGUCAGGAAGUCUAGGCUCUAGAUAAAGAUUAACUCUAUUUUGCUACUUUUCUUCACUCAUUUGGUAUUUAAAUCUUGCACCACUGGUAAUGCUCAAACCUCAAAAGAAAGGGACACAAUAUAAGUAGGAGGUUAUAAUAUCACGGCUUAUUUAUUACACUCUGGAAAACAUAACAAUGAGUCAUUUUUUUUGCUUAAAAACAUAACACUGAGUUUGAAUAUAAAAAAAAAACAUAACAGUGAGUCAAACCCAAUUUUACUCGUUUUAGGGGUCCAAUUCAAAUCCAGAUAUCAGAUGUGCAGUCUCCGCCGGGAUAUCUCAUCUCAUGGGCAAGCGCAGGACCAUCGGGUUCUUCACCAAAGUCCACAAAGAAAUCAGGGUUUAUUGAGAGACCACCUUUCUCUGUAUCAACAUCAAUCUGAAUUAUGUGUGAUCCUUUAUCCAUGAGUUCUGGGUAAAACUGACGGUCCCACGCGCUGAACAGUGAGUUUGUUGCAUACAAUCGUUUACCAUCAAGGCUCAGCUGGAUCAUCUGAGGUCCUGCUCGUAGAGAUUUCCCCUACAAAUACCGAGAUAUUAAAGAAAAAAGUGCUCCCAAAUGAAUGUUUAUUUUUGUAAGUAAAACAAACCUUGAUCUGAGGAACAUCAAACUGGUAAGUGGUACCAUCUUCUCUAACAGCCUUUACAGGGCUGCCUUUUUGUAGUAAUCCGCCCACCCAAAUUUGACCAGUUAAGACAGGGUUUUUAGGGUCUUCAAUGUUGUACUGACGAAUGUCUCCAUGAAGCCAGUUCACAAAGUAGAAAAACCGAUCAUCGAGGGAGAUCAAGAAGUCGGUGAUAAGCCCCGGCAUUUCUGGAAGAAUCCAGUUCUCUACUUUCAGUGGUUCAACUGAUAUAACCACCUACCGAAAAAAUCAAUUUAAGGGUUAAUCAUAGCUUUGAAGAACCAAAGUAAAAAAAAGAGGUUAUGAAGAUAAUUCAGAAACUCGCUGCAAAGAAAAGACGAAAUGUGUCGUUUUAUGUAACCUUCUCAUCUAUUUACAUUCUAGCAAGAAACCAAAAUUGCAUCAGCUUCUCCGUAGCUUUAACCCCCUUCAUUCUCAUAAAUGUGAUCUUGUUACGGAAUCACUUGUCAAACAACUUCUUAAUCACCGGUAAAGGCAUCAACUUAUCACCAUGUAUUACUUUGUUAUGUUCUCUCCAUACUGCAUACAAGACUGUCUGAAAUGCAUAUCUAAUACAAAACAGACUCAUCUUCUCCCUUGUUUCAUCCGAAAUGAUUAGAAAAAUCUCAGACUCACUUUUUUUCUUAUGUGGACUCCAAAUACAAAUCUGAUUCUGUUUGUAAUCAUUUUCUUUCAAAAAUAACUCUGUUUUAGUUUCUUAUGAAUAUUGCGCCUACCCACCUUAUAGAGUUUUAAGGGAAUGUUCAAGGUUUGCACAACAUAACAUACUCUAUAUGCUUAAGCAGUUACUAAACCAUCUUUGGGUCAGGAAGUCUAGGCUCUAGAUAAAGAUUAACUCUAUUUUGCUACUUUUCUUCACUCAUUUGGUAUUUAAAUCUUGCACCACUGGUAAUGCUCAAACCUCAAAAGAAAGGGACACAAUAUAAGUAGGAGGUUAUAAUAUCACGGCUUAUUUAUUACACUCUGGAAAACAUAACAAUGAGUCAAACCCAAUUUUACUCUUUUUUAGGGGUCCAAUUCAAAUCCAGAUAUCAGAUGUGCAGUCUCCGCCGGGAUAU